UACGUAGGGACCAAGCGUUGUUCGGAUUUACUGGGCGUAAAGGGCGCGUAGGCGGCAAUUCAAGUCAUCUGUGAAAUCUCCGGGCUUAACCCGGAACGGUCAGGUGAUACUGUUUUGCUAGAGUGCGGAAGGGGCAAUCGGAAUUCUGGGUGUAGCGGUGAAAUGCGUAGAUAUCGAGAGGAACACCAGAGGUGAAGACGGGUUGCUGGGCCGACACUGACGCUGAUGCGCGAAAGCUAGGGGAGCGAACGGG
rnacentral:rRNA from 1 species